AUGCUGAUGAUCAUCAACCACCAGUUUAGGGUCCAGAACUCUGGACUUGUAUUUCCAUCUGCAUCCUGGACACCUUCCAUCUUAGGUAAGUUCCAACAAAAAAUUUCUCAAGGGUGCAUGUUUUCCAUUUCUUACAGCAUGGAGCUAUUUUUAUUAAACGAUGGAAUGUUAUUACCAUCUUUAAGUUUGCAGUCCUAUAUUCCACCACAGUCUGACCUAAUUCUGCCAGAAUCUGGAGCACGGCAGAACCUGAGAGUGGUCGACGGGACCAGCAGGAUGAGAGCAACCAGUCCAGAUUGGAGCGGGAAGGUGGAGGACUCCAGCAGGGAGGGAGCUGGAGAAUAUGGACUCAAGAAAUUUGAUCUCCUGGAGAAUUUAGAAAAAGUUAAAGAGGAAGUGCUCAGGAGAUGGAUCUCUCAGAAGAGCCUACCUACUCAGAACUUGGAGGUGUCACCAGGCGCAGUGGCUCAUGCUUGUAAUCCCAGCACUUUGGGAGACAGAGGUGGGUGGAUUGUUUGAGCUCAGGAGCUUGACACCAGCCUGAGCAACAUGGUGAAACCCCGUGUCUACCAAAAAUACAAUAAUUAGCCAGGCAUGGUGGCCUGCAUCUGUAGUCCCAGCUACUCUGGAGGCUGAAGUAGGAGGAUCGCUGGAGCCUGGGAAGUUGAGGCUGCAGUGAGCCAUGAUUGCACCUCUGCAUUCCAGUCUGGGUGACAGAGCAAGACCCCUGUCUCAAAAAAGAAGAAAAAGGA
rnacentral:lncRNA from 1 species